rnacentral:lncRNA from 1 species
AUAUAACUUAGCAUUACAAAUAUUGGGUGAUUAGUUGCUUAUCGUUUGUAAUAAACUGUUAAAUGUGCUUACGUGAGCUUUCCAGGGCAGCGAAUUAUGGGUUAUUGUUUAUGUAUGCUAGUGUAGACAAGUUAUAUUGCCUUGGGAAAAAUUCUAAAUGAUUAGAAUUAUAUUUAAAUUUCAAGGAAUCACAUUGAAGCUCAAUUUAUGUUAACUAUAUUAAAUAUCUUAGUCACUAUUGUUAUUGUAAUGUUUGUUUUUUGAUAAUAUAUUUUGAGGCCUAAGAAAGGUAUUUUAUUGAUAGUCCAUUAAUUAAUGUUUUGUUAGAAACUGAAUGUUAACAGAAAGUUUUGUGUGUGUGGAAGGUGAGACUUCCUUUUGUCUUGUAUUAGCUCUAAAAUGUAUUCGUGAAACCAAUGAUUAGUGUAGCACCAACACUUUCCUUCAAGGAAGUAUUUAAUUCAGUGAAUAAAAGAUCUUAUAAUUUGUUUUGCAUGGUACAAUGGUUCUACUAAAAUGUACUUGUGUAAUAGGUACUAGAUGAUUUAAGAACAAAAGCUGGAAAACCACAAAAAAGAAAAAACCCUACAGUUUGUUAUACAAAAUAUGCAUUGCUAAUAGUAGAAGCCAUAUAUUGCCAUUGUACUGUUGUAAUACUUAAGAAUGCUCAUCUGGUGCUAUCUGUA